ACACACGAGCACGGCAACACACGUGAGCACGGCAACACACGAGGGCACGGCAACCAUACAGCCUUUAGAAACUGAAACAGGUUUGCUGUAUUUAAGUAUUAUUUACUUCUCUGUUUGUCUUCUCAAACAGAGAAAAUGUGUCCUGAAGGAUGGAAGUAGUUUGGCUCCAGCAGCUGUUACUACCUCUCGGCUGAGAAGAAACCCUGGGAGUAGCUGAACAGGACUGUCUGGGGAGAGGAGCACACCUGGUGAUCAUAAAUAGUAGAGAGGAACAGAAAUUCCCCAUUGCAUUAAGGACAUUUUCCUGGAUGGGUCUGAAUGAAAGAGUGACAACGGGGACCUGGACAUGGAUGGACGGUACACCACUGACCACAUGGGUUAACCCUCUAGGUACUGGGCGGAGAAACAGCCUGAUAAUUCAGGUCCUAAUGGGGAGGAGGACUGUGCUGAGAUGAAUUAUAGGUAUUGUGACCAUGUAUAUACAUGGAAUGAUGUAGGAUGUACCGAGGAACGUAAUUGGAUUUGUGAAAGAGUGAUUUAACAAACAAUAGCUCGUUAUGUACAGUUGCAUUGCAUGUAGUCUGUAUACAAAUAUCUCUCUCCCCCAAUGGGGUUUUAUUGGCAUGGGAAACGUCUUUAUAUUGCCAAAGCCAGAAACAACAUCAUUAAAAAACAACGUUUACAAGGGGGGAGGAGUGGUAGGAUUAGGGGAAAAUAAUAAAGGGAAACGUAUACAAAAUAUAUACAUUGGGGAGAACAAGUAUUUGAUACACUGACGAUUUUGCAGGUUUUCCGACUUAGAAAGCAUGUA